CGGAGGAAAAGAAACCAACAGGGAUUGCCUCAGUAACGGCGAGUGAAGCGGCAAGAGCUCAAAUUUGAAAGCUGGCCCCUUCGGGGUCCGCGUUGUAAUUUGCAGAGGAUGCUUCGGGAGCGGUCCCCAUCUAAGUGCCCUGGAACGGGCCGUCAUAGAGGGUGAGAAUCCCGUCUGGGAUGGGGUGCCCGCGCCCGUGUGAAGCUCCUUCGACGAGUCGAGUUGUUUGGGAAUGCAGCUCUAAAUGGGUGGUAAAUUUCAUCUAAAGCUAAAUACUGGCCGGAGACCGAUAGCGCACAAGUAGAGUGAUCGAAAGAUGAAAAGCACUUUGAAAAGAGAGUUAAACAGCACGUGAAAUUGUUGAAAGGGAAGCGCUUGCGACCAGACUCGCUCGCAGGGUUCAGCCGGCCUUCGGGCCGGUGUACUUCCCCGCGGGCGGGCCAGCGUCGGUUUGGGCGGCCGGUCAAAGGCCCUCGGAAUGUAA
rnacentral:rRNA from 1 species